CUGUUCUUCAUCCUGCAGGGUAUAAACUGGAAUAAUGUGUCAAGGAAACUGCUGACGAUGCCACGUCUGCCAUCUUGUGUAAAUGAGUCUCAGUCUGUUGACAAAGAUCUGAGAAUGGAAUGUAUAGUCCACUUAUAUGCCAGUGGCAACAACACUGAGAUCUGCACAUAUAUCGCACCAGGAUUGAUACCUAUCCAGACCCAUGGCACAGAAACCUCUUAUUAGCGCCCAAGAUCAUGUCCGUGUUUCUCAAUAAAGUACUCCAUAUGCAGAAAACAUUAUUUGGGAUUAUCUGCACUGACUUUUAUAUAUUUGAUCAGCAAAUUAACAGCUUUUCUGACUACAGGAACUGUCGAGAAAUAUCUCUGUUACAGACUGAAUGAUCUUUGGACUGAGUGAGGGUGCUGCAUCGGAGGCUACAAAUAUCCUGGCUGUGACCAACUCCAUGAUGGGAAUUACGCUCACUGACCCAGAGGCAACAGAUUUUAACAUGAAAAUUUCUGUCUUCUGGAUUGUUGUGCCGUGUAGUCUGGUAGAUGUUUACCAACAUUUCAGAGGUCAGUAUGACGUCUGAAACUUGGUAAGCAUCUGCCGUACUACAUGGUGCAAGAACCCAGAAGACAGAAAUCUUCAUACUCGUCGCUGUGAAAACCUCAAAUCAUAAAUAGAUUUUAACAUCUUAACAUAGAGUCAUCAGCGGCAGGCAACGCUCUUGACUUGAAGUGGAAAGCAGUUUGUGUACGACUCCUGUGAACCCUGAAAAAUAUUGGUUUUGUAAUUAUAAGAUACAGUGACUUGAUUAAAUAUUUUGUUGCACUGUA